CGGACGGGUGAGUAACACGUAAGAAUUUGCCUCUAGGAGGGGGAUAACAACUGGAAACGGUUGCUAAUACCCCAUAUGCUUUCGAGUGAAAUGGUUUUCCGCCUAGAGAGAAGCUUGCGGCUGAUUAGCUUGUUGGUAAGGUAAUGGCUUACCAAGGCGACGAUCAGUAUCUGGUUUGAGAGGACGAUCAGACACACUGGAACUGAGACACGGUCCAGACUCCUACGGGAGGCAGCAGUGGGGAAUUUUCCGCAAUGGGCGAAAGCCUGACGGAGCAAUCUCGCGUGAGGGAUGACGGCCUAUGGGUUGUAAACCUCUUUUUUCAGGGAGGAAUAAAUGACGUGUACCUGAAGAAUAAGCAUCGGCUAACUCCGUGCCAGCAGCCGCGGUAAGACGGAGGAUGCAAGUGUUAUCCGGAAUCACUGGGCGUAAAGCGUCUGUAGGUGGUUUAAUAAGUCAACUGUUAAAUCUUGAAGCUCAACUUCAAAAUCGCAGUCGAAACUAUUAGACUAGAGUAUAGUAGGGGUAAAGGGAAUUUCCAGUGGAGCGGUGAAAUGCGUAGAGAUUGGAAAGAACACCGAUGGCGAAGGCACUUUACUGGGCUAUUACUGACACUCAGAGACGAAAGCUAGGGUAGCAAAUGGGAUUAGAUACCCCAGUAGUCCUAGCCGUAAACAAUGGAUACUAGAUGUUGAACAGAUCGACCUGUGCAGUAUUAAAGCUAACGCGUUAAGUAUCCCGCCUGGGAAGUAUGCUCGCAAGAGUG
rnacentral:rRNA from 1 species